rnacentral:rRNA from 1 species
CUAAGCAUAUCAAUAAGCGGAGGAAAAGAAACCAACAGGGAUUGCCCCAGUAACGGCGAGUGAAGCGGCAAGAGCUCAAAUUUGAAAUCUGGCCUCCUCCGGGGGUCCGAGUUGUAAUUUGCAGAGGAUGCUUCGGGUGCGGCCCCCGUCUAAGUUCCUUGGAACAGGACGUCAGAGAGGGUGAGAAUCCCGUCUUGGGCGGGCGGCCCGCGCCCGUGUGAAGCUCCUUCGACGAGUCGAGUUGUUUGGGAAUGCAGCUCUAAGCGGGUGGUAAAUUUCAUCUAAAGCUAAAUAUUGGCCGGAGACCGAUAGCGCACAAGUAGAGUGAUCGAAAGGUUAAAAGCACCUUGAAAAGGGAGUUAAACAGCACGUGAAAUUGUUGAAAGGGAAGCGCUUGCGGCCAGACUCGGGGGCGGGGUUCAGCGGGCGCUCGUCGCCCGUGCACUCCCCGCGCCCCGGGCCAGCAUCAGUUUCGACGGUCGGUCAAAGGCCCCCGGAAUGUGUCGUCUCUAGGGACGUCUUAUAGCCGGGGGUGCAAUGCGGCCCGUCGGGACUGAGGAACGCGCUUCGGCUCGGAUGCUGGCGUAAUGGCCGUAAGCGGCCCGUCUUGAAACACGGACCAAGGAGUCUAACAUCCACGCGAGUGUUCGGGUGUCAAACCCGUGCGCGCAGUGAAAGCGAACGGAGGUGGGAGCCUUUGGGCGCACCAUCGACCGAUCCUGAAGUCUUCGGAUGGAUUUGAGUAGGAGCGUGGCCGUUGGGACCCGAAAGAUGGUGAACUAUGCCUGAAUAGGGUGAAGCCAGAGGAAACUCUGGUGGAGGCUCGCAGCGGUUCUGACGUGCAAAUCGAUCGUCAAAUUUGGGCAUAGGGGCGAAAGACUAAUCGAACCAUCUAGUAGCUGGUUCCUGCCAAUU